UCUCCACCUUCGUCCGCCACCCAAUCCUCUUUGCACCUGAGAAUAUCAUAUCUUUACAAAUUUGGAUUCAUGGACAGAAAUCUCCCUAGAUCUUGACAUCACAAGCUGUGGCCAACAAGAACGAACAAACUGUGAUUAACUCCAAGCACCAAAACAACAAGAACAGAUCACUAUCAGUCAGGAUGGCUCCUGGCUAACCAUAUGGACGAACUGCUGCUUCUCAACUUUAAAACACAGACUUCCACGGAUUUGCCGCUGUUUGUCUGACCAAGACCUGGCUCGGUGGGCACAAAACAGAUGCCAGGCUUCCAGCUGUUUCAUACGGGCUGCAUCGUCGAGCUCUCAGGGCGAACGAGAGAUGGUGAAAUCUGUUUUUACACAAACCCAGAUGGAGUUCUCCUCGUUUGUUUUGGCUGGUGUUUACAUUCCACCACAAGCCUGUACAUCAGAGCCUGAAAAACAGCUCGCUGAACUGAUAGCAGACAUGGAGGAAAAAACAACCAGACUCUCUCAUCAUUGUUCUUGGGGAUUUUAAUAGCGCAAACAUCUACAAUGAACUUUAAAAGAAUACACAGCAUAUCAAGUGUUCCACCUUCAUCUCAUUUCAAACCUUCUCUCCCAUUUCGAACUUCUCUCCAUCCAGGACUUGUACAGGUCUAGGGUCAGGAAAUAGACAGCGAACAUCUCUGCCGACCCCACAAAGCCACGACAUAAGCUGUUUAGUUUUUUUUACCUUCAGGUCAGCGUUACAGCGCACUAUUUGUAAAAACCAGCAGCCACAAAGACAGUUUGUUCCUCCAGGCUGUUUCUCUGAUCAGUCUAUUACUUUUACCAGUUCUCCAGAUAGUCCUGAAUUCUGCCAUAUCCUGCCUAGGGCAGUCAGCUUCCCUUCAUGUUCCAGAUCUCCAUCCUUCAAUUUAUUUAGCUUAAUCUUCUUCCGUUUAUGAUUUUGAACCUUGGAAACUGUUUUUGUAAGUUUCUGGUUGAGUUAUUAAAUAUUUUUAUUUUUUAAUCAA